AGGAAUCUGCCUAUUAGUGGGGGACAACAUCUCGAAAGGGAUGCUAAUACCGCAUACGUCCUACGGGAGAAAGCAGGGGACCUUCGGGCCUUGCGCUAAUAGAUGAGCCUAAGUCGGAUUAGCUAGUUGGUGGGGUAAAGGCCUACCAAGGCGACGAUCUGUAGCGGGUCUGAGAGGAUGAUCCGCCACACUGGGACUGAGACACGGCCCAGGCUCCUACGGGAGGCAGCAGUGGGGAAUAUUGGACAAUGGGGGGAACCCUGAUCCAGCCAUGCCGCGUGUGUGAAGAAGGCCUUUUGGUUGUAAAGCACUUUAAGCGAGGAGGAGGCUAUCGAGAUUAAUACUCUUGGAUAGUGGACGUUACUCGCAGAAUAAGCACCGGCUAACUCUGUGCCAGCAGCCGCGGUAAUACAGAGGGUGCAAGCGUUAAUCGGAUUUACUGGGCGUAAAGCGCGCGUAGGUGGCCAAUUAAGUCAAAUGUGAAAUCCCCGAGCUUAACUUGGGAAUUGCAUUCGAUACUGGUUGGCUAGAGUAUGGGAGAGGAUGGUAGAAUUCCAGGU
rnacentral:rRNA from 1 species